GAUGAACGCUGGCGGCGUGCUUAACACAUGCAAGUCGAACGAUGAAAGCGGGAGCUUGCUCCUGCUGGAUUAGUGGCGAACGGGUGAGUAACACGUGAGCAAUCUGCCCCGAACUCUGGGAUAAGCGUUGGAAACGACGUCUAAUACCGGAUACGACGCGCGAAGGCAUCUUCUGCGCGUGGAAAGAACUUCGGUUCGGGAUGAGCUCGAGGCCUAUCAGCUAGUUGGUGAGGUAACGGCCCACCAAGGCCACGACGGGUAGCCGGCCUGGGAGGGUGACCGGCCACACUGGGACUGAGACACGGACCAGACUCCUACGGGAGGCAGCAGUGGGGAAUAUUGCACAAUGGGCGCAGGCCCGAUGCAGCAACGCCGCGUGAGGGACGACGGCCUUCGGGUUGUAAACCUCUUUUAGUAGGGAAGAAGCGAAAGUGACGGUACCUGCAGAAAAAGCACCGGCUAACUACGUGCCAGCCGCCGCGGUAACAC
rnacentral:rRNA from 1 species